UACACCCCUAAGACUUGACAGAGCAGCCGCAACGCAGGGACUACAAAAAACCUUGAACAGACAUCAUUUAAAAAGGAAUCGCCUGCCCUCUUCUCUCUAUCCUCAUGCGUUUCUGUCACCACAAAUACUGCAAAAAAGAAAAGAAAAGAACAUGUUACUUCAAUCACACAAGAUUAAUAUACAACAAUCAAUAUCUCACCUUUAGAAAUUUCCCUUUACCAUUAUCACCGUCCCAAUCACUAUGUGAAUAUCAUCACUAAACCAUCAUUCUCCAUUGUCCUUCAUUAACAAUUCCAUCUUCAUUUUUAUUAUCAUUUUCACUCUUUUAUCAUGGAUAUUCUUUAGGAUAUAGUUGUUUGAGCUUUCCGAGUUGGACUUGAGGUUUUUCCGGUCCAGUUGGGCGAUUUCUUGUUCGAGGUUCCGGUUUAAAAUAUGAUCGUAGAGUUUGAUUUCUAGUCCAAUUUCUGACGGAUUUGCCGAUGUUGAAUUCAUUUGUACGGGGUUCUUCAUAUAAUUACAAAUCUAAAAUUGCUUCACUUAAGGUCUAUUUCUACUCCAGAUCUUUAAUUCGUGCAUAUUUUUAUUCUUGUUUAAUGUGCUUGACCUCUAUAUUGUUUGUUCACCAUUUUUAUAUUUAUGUGGUGAAUUAUUCUUAGUUUUAUAUUUCUUGUGAUGCUAUACUGAUUUUCAGUUUUGUUUUGUUAGCUUCACAGUUACAAUCUAGUAGUAGCAAUUAUGGUUUUUAGAUUGCAUUUGUUUGUUGAGCUACAUGCUGGAUUAGUUGAAUGAGUUUAAUUUAUUGUAACUGAAUUUGGUUUAGAAUUAGGGAAUGCAAAAUCAAAUGGGUUGUGUGGCAUAAUUUGGAGUUGAACCAGUUGAAUUGCUUUUUUAAUAAAAGUGGCUAUGGACGUAAAGUUCCUGUACAACCAUUCCUACAAUUUAGGCUACUACCUCUCUUGGAUCUUCAAAGUGACUUUGAACUUUGUUUUUCAUCAAUUGAUUCAAGAAACCCUGCUUUAUCUUUAUUCUUCGAAUUCAAACUGAUUUUGCCAGUAUUAAGAAUAUUGCACUGUUUUAAUGUGGGGGCGAGCAGUAAGAAUAAAAAUCGAAUUUGUCACGUUAAUUGUUCAAAUCGCUAGCGUACUUUAGGCAUGUUAAUUAAAUAAAUCAUCAUGACCAUGGGUAUGGUUCCCGUGGCAUAGUCAUGAUACAUUUAAUCUUAAUUCGGGUGAGCAUUUCAUGUGACCCGACCAUAAUUUCAAAUAAUAAUAAGAUAAACAUGUUAUAAAUCCAGGUGUGCAUUUAAUAUGACCCGACUUCAAUUUUUAUAAUGUUAAAUAAAAUAAAACGUGUCGUGAACCGCGGGCGCAUUUUAAGUAUCGUGAUUUAAAUGUGUUUUAAAUAAACCUUGAAUUUUUCCAAAAUAUUAAAAGCGGAUAAAAAGUUAAAAAUGCACAUAGGUUUCAAAAAGGUUUUAUUAAUCAAAUAAUUAGGCCAAUGAUAAUAGUUGAGUGACUGUGCUAAAAUCACGGAAUACAGGAAUGUCUAACACCUUCUCCCGAGUUAACAGAAUUCCUUACCCGAAUUCUAUGUUCGCGGCCUGUAAAAUAGAGUCAAUCUUUCCUCGAUUCGGGAUUUUAAACUGGUGACUUGGGACACCAUAAAUUAUCCCAAGUGGCAACUCUGACUUAAUAAAUAAUCAUGUUUUGAUUGUCACUUAAAUUGGAAAAAAACUCCCUUAUACCCCUCUCGGGGUGGUAAAAAGGAGGUGUGACAGCUCUGACGACUCUGCUGGGGAAAAGAACCCAGAACUUCUGGUUCAGGGUUCAGAAUUCGAGCUUAGAAUAAUUGUUACAGUUGGCUUUGUUUAUUACCUGAUUUUUACGUGUUUGGGACUAAUGUGCUAAAUGUCGCUUUUUAGCCCAUUAUUUGAAUUGUAUAUAAACUGCUGCGAAACCCUUCUCUUCUCAUCUUCGGGGAAGUGCACGCUGGCGUGACUUCUCUUCUGUUAGUGUCAUACCCUAAUUUAGAAAGAGGCUCAAACAAGCUACAAAGCCGGAUGGCCUUUUGGUUCCCGGUACGUAGCCCCCCUCGGCUCGAGUUGUCCGCUCGGGUACACAAGUCUAGAACAACAUACCCAGGUUUUGAACCUAGAAUAACUCAACCUCAUACCGGAUUCCUAGUAGGAACAUUUGUUUGCAUCACGUGCAUUUGACUUAGGGGACUCAACACAGGGGUUGGGUCCGUCUAGGAUAAGUAUACCCAAAAAUAAAAGACCAUCUUGAUGCAUCUUAUGUGCUAUAUGUUACAUUCUUCAAGGGUAAAAGGGGGCAUUUAGCGGACCAAUGAGGGUUGAGGGUAAAUGAGAAAGAAAAGAGGGUGAAGUGUAAAAUAAAGCAAGUAGCGCCCAGUUAUAAUUUUCUUUCAUGCUUUUUCAAGAAAAGACCAAAAAAAUAAAAAUGAAAAAAUCCAAAAAGAUUUUGCACUUUUCCAUCAUUUUUUCAAAAAAUAAAUCAAAAAAAAAAGAGAAAAAGAAAUCCAAAAAGAUUUUACAUGUUUCAUCAUUUUCAAGGAAAAGACAAAAUAUAUUUUUCUCUAAAUUAGUUGCUUUUUUUAUUCUCGCCCGUAUCCAAUCUUCCCGAACUACGCAUACCUGAUUCUCCUCUCUCGGGGCGGGAUACGUAGGCAACCCACAUAGGGUCCGGUCUUCCUAGUAAAUCUUAGGUUCUUGGCUUUGCAGGGUAUUAGCCAAAUUUUGCACUUCUAGCCACCUUUUGGCCACAUAAGCCAUUUUGCAAAAAUAACCUCAAUCAUAUCUUGCAUGUGUCUAAUAGGGAGUGUUAUUAUCUCACAUACUGUUGUUAAAGUUUUCAAAUACAGGUACGGAUCUACUUACCGGAGUUUGAGCACGACAGACACUCCGGGAUCAUCCAGUCAGGAUCGUUCAUUCAGUUUGCUUAAGGAGAUUUUUUUUAUUUUUAUGUUUUGAGUCUGAUAUUCUUUUAUGUCGUCUUUUACCUUCUAGUUUUGUAUAGUAAUGACGAGUCUUUUGUUAUUGUAUUUUCUAUUUUGUGUUUAAAAAAAGAUGUGUUAUAAAUCAAAA
rnacentral:lncRNA from 1 species